CCGAGUUUACAACUCCCAACCCCUGUGAACAUACCAUUACCUUGUUGCUUCGGCGGAUCACCCGACCCUACGGGUAAACGGAAGGGCCCGCCAGAGGACACCCUAAACUUCAUGUUUUCCUAUAUUUAUUACUGAGUGAAUUUAAAUAAAUCA
rnacentral:misc_RNA from 1 species